rfam:Homo sapiens chromosome Y, GRCh38 reference primary assembly.
GGAUGUGAGGGCAAUCUGGCUGCAACAUCUGCCUGCCAUUGAUCACCAGGGUUGAUUCAGCUGAUCUGACUGGCUAGGCAGUUGUCCCCUUCCUCCUCACCGCUCCAUAUGCGUCCCUCCCAAAGCUGCGUGUUCGGUCAAAGAGGAUGACCAACCCCAAUAGAGGAGGACUGGUCUUCAGUCAAGGGUAUACGAAUAGCUGCAUUCCCCUGCUAGAACCUCCAGACAAGUUCUCAAGGUCCAUAGAUGCUAAUAUAUGUGAUAGACAGAUGCUAAGGUGUGCAUACAGACAGAUGUUAGGAUACGUGUGUGUGU